GGGGGUAUGGCUCAUUGGUAGAGCACUUGCCUAGAAUGUAUGAGGCCCUGGGUUUGAUCCUCAGCACCACAU
rnacentral:tRNA from 1 species